rnacentral:lncRNA from 1 species
GUUACAGUUCACUAUGUACAGAGGAACCUUUUGAGCAGUGUGAGAACGAACUAAUACACUAUUCACUUAGUGGAAGCGGAUCAUCAUAAAGGUCUUCAUCCUUGUCAUCCUCAUGCUGAUCAGGCUGAGAAGGAGGAGGAAGAGGAGGGGCUGGUCUUUCUGUCUCAGGGGUGGCAGAAGCAGAAGACGUGGAACAGGAAGCAGGAGACACAAGCACACUCAGUGUAACUUUUGUUGAAAAAAAUCCAUGCAAAAAAAAAUCCAUGUAUAAGUGCAUUUCAAACCUGUGUUGUUCAAGGAUUAGCUGUAUUUUUGUUGGGCGAGUGGCAGCAGAAACUUUGGCUUUUUGAGCAACAGCAGUAGCAGUGGCCACAGCAAGGGAAAUUUUGGUUCUUCUGCCCAGUCUUGUGGCCUGGUUUUGGGCAUUCUUUUUGGAGACUCAACUUCAGCAACUCUGGUUCUCCAGCACUUCCAACAAUAUCUUUUUAAUAAACUUCUCUUUGGAAUACCUACAGUCAAUUUUAAUUGCUUGCAAACAGGAACUCUGCCUGAGAGAGUAGAGGAUGAGAAAUUGGAGCCAUGGUGGGCAACCUUUUCAAAGUCACAGGAGAACAAAGAGAGUGCUAGUAGGUGGAGUAGUCAGCCUCUGAGUUGGCCCCCAAUCGUUAUUGCCUUUUAGUGUUCAUGUACUUUUGUUGUGCCAUGUUGUACCAGGACUGCUCUGUGUGACCAACAGAAUACAGAGGAAAUAACAGCAUGUGACUUCCAAAGCUAGUUCGUAAAGAAAUUAUAGCUUCUGCAUUGGCUUCAUGAAUCACACACCGUGGGAUAAUGCUAGCCACCAUGUUAUGAGAACACUCAGGCAGCCCUGUGGAGAUGCUUACACAGAGAGGACUCCACUUGUCAACACAAAUUUGCCAGCUUCGGCAGUGAGCUACCUCAGAAGUGGAUCCUCCAUUUCCAUUAACCCUUCAGAUACUGCAGCCUCAGCUGACCUGAAUGCAACUUUUGACAGACCCCAAGCCAGAACUGCCCAACCAAGCUGCCACUCAAUGCCAGACUCAUAGAAACCAUGGGAGAUGAGAAAUACUUAUGGUUGUUUCAAGUCACUAAGUCUUGAAGCAAUAUAUUAUGCAGCAAUAGAUAACUAAAAUAUAAUGCUUAAAGAUGGUUUGUUUUGGCCGGGUGCGGUGGCUCAAGCCUGUAUUCCCAGCACUUUGGGAGGCCGAGGCGGGCGGAUCACGAGGUCAGGAGAUCAAGACCAUCCUAGCUAACACAGUGAAACCCCGUCUCUACUAAAAAUACAAAAAAUUAGCCAGACGUGGUGGUGGGCGUCUGUGGUCCCAGCUACUCGGGAGGCUGAGGCAGGAGAAUGGCGUGAACCCGGGAGGCAGAGCUUACAGUGAGCCGAGACCGCGCCACUCCACUCCAGCCUGGGCAACAGAGUGAGACUCCAUCUC